GAUGAACGCUAGCUACAGGCUUAACACAUGCAAGUCGAGGGGAAACGGCAUUGAGUGCUUGCACUCUUUGGACGUCGACCGGCGCACGGGUGAGUAACGCGUAUCCAACCUUCCCAUUACUGUGGGAUAACCUGCCGAAAGGCAGACUAAUACCGCAUAGUCUUCGAUGACGGCAUCAGAUUUGAAGUAAAGAUUUAUCGGUAAUGGAUGGGGAUGCGUCUGAUUAGCUUGUUGGCGGGGUAACGGCCCACCAAGGCAACGAUCAGUAGGGGUUCUGAGAGGAAGGUCCCCCACAUUGGAACUGAGACACGGUCCAAACUCCUACGGGAGGCAGCAGUGAGGAAUAUUGGUCAAUGGACGGAAGUCUGAACCAGCCAAGUAGCGUGCAGGAUGACGGCCCUAUGGGUUGUAAACUGCUUUUGUAUGGGGAUAAAGUUAGGGACGUGUCCCUAUUUGCAGGUACCAUACGAAUAAGGACCGGCUAAUUCCGUGCCAGCAGCCGCGGUAAUACGGAAGGUCCAGGCGUUAUCCGGAUUUAUUGGGUUUAAAGGGAGCGUAGGCUGGAGAUUAAGUGUGUUGUGAAAUGUAGACGCUCAACGUCUGAAUUGCAGCGCAUACUGGUUUCCUUGAGUACGCACAACGUUGGCGGAAUUCGUCGUGUAGCGGUGAAAUGCUUAGAUAUGACGAAGAACUCCGAUUGCGAAGGCAGCUGACGGGAGCGCAACUGACGCUGAAGCUCGAAGGUGCGGGUAUCAAACAGG
rnacentral:rRNA from 1 species